rnacentral:piRNA from 1 species
UGGGAUGGCAGAUGGAAUAAGAACUCCAGAA